GUCNUCACNGACUCAGUAAACGAAGGUAACCGCGNGAAGUUGACCCGCCUGGGGAGUANCGGCCGACAAGGUUGANNACUCAAAGGAAUNGACGGGGACCGGCACAAGCGGUGGAUGAUGUGGUUUAAUUCGAUGCAACGCGAAAAACCUUACCCACCUUUGACAUGUACGGAAUUCGCCCAGAGAUGGCUUAGUGCUCGAAAGAGAACCGUAGCACAGGUGCUGCAUGGCUGUCGUCAGACUCGUGUCGUGAGAUGUUGGGUUAAGUCCCGCAACGAGCGCAACCCUUGUCAUUAGUUGGUACAUUUAGUUGGGCACUCUAAUGAGACUGCCGGUGACAAACCGGAGGAAGGUGGGGAUGACGUCAAGUCCUCAUGGCCCUUAUAGGUGGGGCUACACACGUCAUACAAUGGCUGGUACAAAGGGUUGCCAACCCGCGAGGGGGAGCUAAUCCCAUAAAGCCAGUCGUAGUCCGGAUCGCAGUCUGCAACUCGACUGCGUGAAGUCGGAAUCGCUAGUAAUCGUGGAUCAGAAUGUCACGGUGAAUACGUUCCCGGGUCUUGUACACACCGCCCGUCACACCAUGGGAGCGGGUUCUGCCAGAAGUAGUUAGCCUAACCGCAAGGAGGGCGAUUACCACGGCCAGGGUUCGUGACUGGGGUGAAGUCGUAANCAAGGUACC
rnacentral:rRNA from 1 species